UCCAAAUUGUAUCAAAUAUAUUAUUUCAUCGAACACCAAUAUGUCCAUAUAAUAGAAGCAGCUAAAAACGAGUUUAAACAAAAAUGGCAGCCUUAAUAAUUUAAUUAACCAAUGAUGACAGACAACAAUAAAAGCCAACAAAAUGUUUCAAUUGGGCGUAACUAACAUGGAAAACAAUGUCACUACUGACCCAAUUAGAAAGCGGAAUGUAUAUAUGCAUGUAUGUAGGGUAUAUUGAUUGUUAAUGCACGUGGACAGUGGACAGACAAAGGCGUGGCGUGACAUUUGCUUACAACAACCUUGUAAGCUUUUAAAUAAAAUAUAUAUAAAUUAUAUAAAAUAAAAUAAAUUCAAUAAUUUAUAUUUAAAAA